GUUUAUCCACUUCCUGGCUCUGCAGAAAAACGAGACAGACAUGUAAUCCACUCCAUCCACUAUGAAGCAUCAUAGAAGCAAUACGUAUCAGGAAUGACUGAGACAGACACUGGACUGUCCUGGGCGAGCACAGACGCCCUGAGCCCUUCUCUGCAUGUGGAAUGGACUGGAUUUGAGCAGGUCUGGCAGGUACCGAGUGUUUCUUACGCCUUGGGGCUUUGGGAACACUACUGUAGCUGAGUCCGGUGGCCGCCUUACAAGACUGUGUCUGCUGAUCCACCGCAAUAGAGACGGGUCACGAAGGCCCCCUGGAUGCAUUUAGACCAGUAAAUGUCUGUCAGCUUUGUUCCAGUAAAAGCACCCCCCCCCCCGUU